ensembl:lncRNA
GCAACCCCAUAGGCGGCAGCCCACCAGGCUCCCCUGUCCCUGGGGUUCUCCAGGCAAGAACACUGGAGUGGGGUGCCAUUUCCUUCUCCAGUGUAUGAAAGUGAAAAGUGAAAGUGAAGUCGCUCAGUUGUGUCUGACGCUUAGCGACCCCAUGGACUACAGCCUACCAGGCUCCUCCAUCCAUGGGAUUUUCCAGGCAAGAGUACUGGAGUGGGGUGCCAUUGCCUUCUCCGAGAAAAGGUAAUACCUUGGCACAAAAGGUAGGGAAGUAGAGAUAGCUUUUUCAACAAACUAUUGUGAUGGGAGGAGAGAGAUGAUUCUGGGAUACAGAGAGUUUUACUUGUUUAUUUUUAAUAAAUUAGCAGAGACUAGUUUGUAGGCUGAUGGGGGAAGCCAGUAGGGAAAGGCAUGGAGAUGCAGGAUUGUGGCUAACUCAGAAUGAGACUCCUGGGGGCGAUGAGAGGGAAUGGGUCUUAGAGUGGGGAGGCACGGGCCUCGCAAAGGGCAGAGGAGAGAUGUCUGCCUGUAGCAGGAGGGACAGAGUUGAGGAUGGCUAUGCAUGCAGGUGGGUAUAGAGGUAAAGGUGAGACACGGAGUUCAGAGUUCAGAGGCUUCUAAUCUCAAAGCAGAAGUCCAGCUCUGCUGCUGAGAGUGGAGCAAGGAGGCUGGUAGAGAGUUGUUUCAACUGGGGAAGGCAGCUAAUGAGGUAUAGGAGGAUGACCAGGCAGAGCCAGAAGCCCAGAUGAGCUUGUACAAGCCCCAUGAACUGGUAAUAUCAUCAGUCAGAGUGCACUCCAGCAGCACCCACAGGCCAAGUGAAGACUCAGGGGAAGCAGGAAUAGUGAGACUGGCAAGACAGUGUAUGUGAAGAAGGUCCAAGGAAUCCAACCUAGGUUGGGAAAGAAGUGAAGCUAGCAAGGGGCAGGGGUCAGUGGCCUAGAGGUCCUUAUAAAAACGGGGUGGAGUGAGGUAGACUAUGUGAGAGAAGUGGGACAGAGUAUUGUAUGCUUCCCUGGUGGCUCAGAGGGUAAAGCAUCUGCCUGCAAUGCAGGAGACCCAGGUUUGAUACCUGGGUCAGGAAGAUCCCCUGGAGAAGGAAAUGGCAACCCACGCCAGUAUUCUUGCCUGGAGAAUCCCAUGGACGGAGGAGCCUGGUGGGCUACAGACCACAGGGUUGAAAACAGUUGGACACAACUGAGCGACUUCACUUUCAGUUUCAUCAUAGUGGUACCAGUUUCUAGGGCACCCAUAACAAAGGGCCACCAACUGGGUGGCUUAGAACAACAGAACUGUUCUGUCUCACAGUUUUGGAGACUAGAAGCCCCAAAUCAAGGUGUCAGAGUUGUUUCCCUCUGAAACCUGCCUGGGAAUCCUUCCUUAAUGCUUCCUAGCUUCCAGUGUGCCAGCAGUCUUUGGUCCUGGCUUUUGGCUGCUUUACUCCAGUCAUCCGUCUUCACAUCCGUCUUCACAUUUACUCUAGACACAUCCGUCUUCCCUUUGUGUCUGUUUCUGUCUCCAAAUUUCUCCUUUUUAUAAGGACACCAGUCAUAUUUGACUAGGGCCCAUCCCAAUGGCCUCAUUUUAACUUACCUCUGUAAAGGUCCUAUUUUCAAAUAAGGUCACAUUGUGAGGUACUAAGGGUUAGGACUCCAACAUAAUGGAGGGAUGCAAUUCAACACUUCAUAGUAGCCAAAGGAUGAAAUGAAAUCAGUGAGUUUGAGAGUUUUAGGAACUGGCAGGAUUUGAUAGUAGGCAUGAGAGUAGAUACCUGGUGGUCUAGAGGGAAAGUCACUGAAGAUGAGGUUGAGGAAUUGAAGAGGCUGGGGAGGGCGAUCAUGGGUA